CCUUAGCCUGUGCAAAAGAGCACGCUUGGAGGAAGACGUGUUGCAGUGUGCUCCAGCCAGAGAGCUUGUUAAGAAGGUUCUGCUUGAGAAAGCUGGUGGAGCGGCAAUCAUGAAAGAGUAUGAGGACACUGGGAGUUUGUGUGACAGUUCGAGGCGACAGAUGGUCAACAUUUUAGCGGCACACAUGACAGAAACCGAAGGGUAUGCCAGUCUUAAAGUACCUUAUUCCUGUUUUUUUUAUAUGUAAUAGUAUUGUAUUUUAAUUUUAGUUUUUAUUUUAGGAGAAUUCCACAAAGGCUGACUAAGGAAAAAUAUGCCCUUGGUGUCAUCACCUUGUUCCCAUACCUGAAAGACCCAUUCUCUAAAAAAGGCUAUGAGCAUUUCUAUGAUGCCCAAAGUGGAACAGGAUUCAUCGCUUGGCGACUCAAGACCAUCCAACGGAAGACUAAGCUUCGUCCUCUGUCAUCUAGUUCUCCGAAGGCAGAUGUCACAGGUGGUCCAACAGUCGCCAGGAAUAUCAGUCAAGAUCAGCUUCAGGAUGAGGCAUGU